AAUAUUGGCCAAUGGGGGAAACCCUGAUCCAGCCAUCCCGCGUGUAAGAUGAAGGGCUUCGGGUUGUAAAGUACUUUUGGCUGAGAGGAAAAGGUAUCCCUUAAUACCGGAUACUGCCGACGGGAUCCGCAGAAUAAGCACCGGCUAACUACAUGCCACUAGCCGCGGUAAUACGUAGGGUGCAAGCGUUAAUCGGAAUUACUGUGCGUAAAGCGUGUGUAGGCGGUUCGGAAAGAAAGAUGUGAAAUCCCACGGCUCAACCUUGGAACUGCAUUUUUAACUGCCGAGCUAGAGUAUGUCAGAGGGGGGUAGAAUUCCACGUGUAGCAGUGAAAUGCGUAGAUAUGUGGAGGAAUACCGAUGGCGGAGGCAGCCCCCUGGGAUAAUACUGACGCUCAGACACGAAAGCGUGGGGAGCAAACAGG
rnacentral:rRNA from 1 species